UGCCAGACUCCUACGGGAGGCAGCAGUGGGGGAUAUUGCACAAUGGGGGGAACCCUGAUGCAGCGACGCCGCGUGGGUGAAGGAGCGUUUCGGCGCGUAAAGCCCUAUCGGCAGGGAAGAAACAGACGGUACCUGACUAAGAAGCCCCGGCUAACUACGUGCCAGCAGCCGCGGGAAUACGUAGGGGGCAAGCGUUAUCCGGAUUCACUGGGUGUAAAGGGAGCGUAGACGGCGACGCAAGUCUGGAGUGAAAGCCCGGGGCCCAACCCCGGGACUGCAUUUGAAACUGUCAGGCUGGAGUGCAGGAGAGGUAAGUGGAAUUCCUAGUGUAGCGGUGAAAUGCGUAGAUAUUAGGAGGAACACCAGUGGCGAAGGCGGCUUACUGGACUGUAACUGACGUUGAGGCUCGAAAGCGUGGGGAGCAAACAGGAUUAGAUACCCCAGUAAU
rnacentral:rRNA from 1 species